GGCCUCGUAGCUCAGUUGGCAGAGCAGCAGACUCUUAAUCUGCGGGUCGUGGGUUCGAGCCCCACCGGGGUCA
rnacentral:tRNA from 1 species